rnacentral:rRNA from 1 species
AGAGUUUGAUCAUGGCUCAGGAUGAACGCUAGCGGCAGGCCUAAUACAUGCAAGUCGAACGGAUAUGAGGACUUCGGUUCUCAUGUUAGUGGCGCACGGGUGCGUAACGCGAUGCAACCUACCUUUUACUGGGGGAUAGCCCGGAAAAUCCGGAUUAAUACCGCAUAAUAUCAUUUGAGGGCAUCCGAAGAUGAUUAAAGAUUUAUUGGAAAAGAUGGGCAUGCUGCCAUUAGCUAGUUGGGGUGUAACGGACCACCAAGGCGACGAUGGCUAGGGGUUCUGAGAGGAUGACCCCCACACUGGUACUGAGAUACGGNNCNNACUCCUACGGGAGGCAGCAGUAGAAUAUUGGCAAUGGACGCAAGUCUGACCCANNCUGCCGCGUGCGGAUGAAGGCCUUCUGGGUUGUAACUGCUUUUAUCUAGAAGAAAAAACCCUUGCGAGGGAACUGACGGUACUAGGUGAAUAAGCACCGGCUAACUCCGUGCCAGCAGCCGCGGUAAUACGGAGGGUGCAAGCGUUGUCCGGAUUUAUUGGGUUUAAAGGGUGCGUAGGCGGCCCGUUAAGUCCGUGGUGAAAGCCAACAGCUCAACUGUUGAACUGCCAUGGAUACUGACNNGCUUGAGUACAGACGAGGUAGGCGGAAUGGAUGGUGUAGCGGUGAAAUGCAUAGAUACCAUCCAGAACACCGAUUGCGUAGGCAGCUUACUAGCUGUACUGACGCUGAGGCACGAAAGCGUGGGGAGCGAACAGGAUUAGAUACCCUAAUAGUCC